rnacentral:rRNA from 1 species
UACGUAGGGUGCAAGCGUUAAUCGGAAUUACUGGGCGUAAAGCGUGCGCAGGCGGCUUGCCAAGUCAGAUGUGAAAGCCCCGGGCUCAACCCGGGAACUGCGUUUGAAACUGGCAGGCUAGAGUUUGGCAGAGGGGGGUGGAAUUCCACGUGUAGCAGUGAAAUGCGUAGAGAUGUGGAGGAACACCGAUGGCGAAGGCAGCCCCCUGGGCCAAAACUGACGCUCAGGCACGAAAGCGUGGGGAGCAAACAGG